UACGUAGGGGGCACGCGUUGUCCGGAUUUCUUGGGCGUAACGCGCUCGUAGGCGGUUUGGUAAGUCAGGUGUGAAAUCUCCACGCUCAACGUGGAGGGGCCACCUGAUACUGCCAUGACUGGAGUCCGGUAGAGGAGUGUGGAAUUCCCGGUGUAGCGGUGAAAUGCGUAGAGAUCGGGAGGAACAUCAGUGGCGAAGGCGGCCAUCUGGGACAACACUGACGCUGAGGCACGAAAGCGUGGGGAGCAAACAGG
rnacentral:rRNA from 1 species